rnacentral:rRNA from 1 species
CAGUCGCCACGGGAAAACGAAGGGGGCUAGCGUUGCUCGGAAUGACUGGGCGUAAAGGGCGCGUAGGCGGAUUGUUUAGUUAGGCGUGAAAUUCCUGGGCUUAACCUGGGGACUGCGCUUAAUACAGGCAGUCUAGAGUGAGGAAGAGGGUUGUGGAAUUCCCAGUGUAGAGGUGAAAUUCGUAGAUAUUCGGAAGAACACCAGUGGCGAAGGCGGCUUACUGGCUCAUUCUAGACGCUGAGGUGCGAAAGCGUGGGGUGCAAACAGGAUUAGAUACCCCCGUAGUCCCUGUCUCUUAUAC